CGCUAUAACUUCCACCAUCCUUGCCUUUAGCUGAAACCAAGCCUAAUUUUUUCUAUUUGAAGGCGAGUUGAUGAAGGUUUCAUCAGUCUUGCACUGGACCCCGGAGAGGUACGCCUAAGGACGGAGGAGAGUGAAAUAUAGGCAAUAUUCGCACGAUGGACGGUGGAGAGAGUAGGAGGGAAGCUAAAAAGGAGGAAGAAGAGUGCUGGUGCCGGGGGCCAAAAGGAGGACCCGGGGAUCGUCCUUGUACACUUGUCCAGCAUUGGAAUGUCGGUCUCUCGAGAGGACGAUUACCUUUCCGAGUGCAUAGUUGCCUGCGGAAGAAACUGCCUUGGACCAGACAGGAAGCGAUGACAAGGUAUUCAUGGAGCAGUCAGGCCACAGACACGGCCUUUUCCGCCUACAAGCAGGAAGCCUACCUACGGUAUGUGUCCUUUGUAAUGUAUUCUAUUUUCGCCCAUUGCUCUCUUGAGGUUAUUGUUGAAUAGCCUACAUUCGUAUGUUGUUCGCUGAGGUUAUUGUUGAAUAUACUUGUCAUUUUCACUUAUUAUAUUUGUUAGUAUCUGUAUUAAAGUAGCACUUUCAAGGGAUCUCUUCCUAAUUGUGUAUUUUAUGGA